CAUGCCUUCCGAAGCUGAGGUGCGGUUGUUCGGUACGAGGGGCAUGAGGUGGAUGCGGCUACUCCCUGAGGUGGUUCAGCUGUCCCGCCUUCUGGGGGUACCGAGUGUCCUGGUAAUCCAUCUGGGGGGAAUGACCUGGGUUCAGUGCCCAUAUGGGAUUUGAUAUCGGCGGUGAAAUUGGACUUGGCGCGCAUUUUAAUCUUGUUCCCCAACGUGCGCUUGGUUUGGUCCGAAGUCAUUGCCCAUAACUACUGGCGGAGUGCCUGAAGCCAGAGUGCCAUGGAACGCUGCUGCCGCAAGUUGAACAGGCAGGUUUCUCAGUUUGUUUUGGGUUUCGGGGGAUUCCGGUUCGCCAUAAG